rnacentral:rRNA from 1 species
CUACGGAGGGGGCUAGCGUUGUUCGGAAUUACUGGGCGUAAAGCGUACGUAGGCGGACUGAUCAGUUGGGGGUGAAAUCCCAGGGCUUAACCCUGGAACUGCCUUCAAUACUGUCAGUCUUGAGUUUGGGAGAGGUGAGUGGAAUUCCUAGUGUAGAGGUGAAAUUCAUAGAUAUUAGGAGGAACACCAGUGGCGAAGGCGGCUCACUGGCCCAUUACUGACGCUGAGGUACGAAAGCGUGGGGAGCAAACAGGAUUAGAAACCCUAGAGUCC